rnacentral:lncRNA from 1 species
AACUUGAAGCUGGAUGUAGGUUUGUGAAAUAACCAUGCCCAUCGCAGACAUGACUUCUCGGCCUUACACCUUUCAAGAAAGUCCUCCUGGUCACAGAGACUGGUGAAACCUUAGGAAGGAAAACCUCCAGAACAUGGCCAAACAGCCCGAAAAACCUACAGCAACCAGAAAUUAAUUUCAUUUUAUACAUCUGAUCUCUUGAUAAUACAAAUAAAUUUAACAUUUUGCAUUUUAGCUUUACAAUAGCCAGCUUUCGUAUUGUGACCUGAAAGCAUUUCGCGUACAUCUUACAGAGCAAUCCGAGCACAAGGUCACAGAUAAAACUCCUGCUGCACGAAUCCUCUGGUAGCUCAGCAAUGGCUCCUUCCAGAAAAAAGCACAUGCGCUGGUCACCCAAAUCCAUCCAAGCGCUCAUCAAAGAAAUAGAAAGCCUUCCUGAGGGUAUCCGCCUCAUGGGAAGCUCAUCAGCCCCAAACUUGGCCAUCUGGAAAAAAGUGGAGAAAAAGAUGGCCAGAAGGAAUUACCCCUGGAAGGUGUCCCAGCUCAGGAACUGCUGGAAGAUGAUCAAGUCAAAAUUCUACACGGAGCAAGCCUUUCACAAGAUCUACAAGGCUCACAGUCGUGAUCCUCCUCCAUACUAUCAGUCAAUGCUUCGGCUGUGGAAGCGGGCAGGGAAGCCCAUCUUCAGGGACAGACGCCGCACAGGCAUGGCGCAAGGAGAGGAGCCAUUGCUGGAAGAAGAGGAGGACACUGAGGUGGAGGAGGAGGAGGAGGAGGAGGAAGAGGAAGAAGAGGAGGAGGAGGAAGAGGAGGAGGAGGAAGAGGAGGAGGAGGAGGAAGAGGAGGAGGACGAGGUGGAGGAGGAGGAAGAGGACGAGGUGAUGGCGGUGGAAGAAGGGACUAGUAGGACGGCCACCUUUGAACUCAUGCCAGAAAUCUAUGUGGGACAAGAAGAAGAACCUGCACACAGAACUGGGACAACAGGCAGAGACAGGGGAGAAUCCCCACACCCAUCCACUUCUACAGCCACAAGAGGUGCCGUCCCAGGUGGGUCUGGGACGUGGAGCCUAAGAUCCCGUGAAGUCAACGCUACGUCUCUUCUGGGGAAACAGCCCUUGAAAGGAAACAGUCGCCAAGGGAAAGCAACCACCACCUUUGCAAGAACAGGACAAAAUGGGCCCGGGGCCGUGCAAACAGCAUCCAUUGAAGCAGGAAGGCGAGCCGCUUCAUUGGAGGAUGUGAUGGGCCAGCUGGAGGUUCUAACCGAAGUUAUCCAGUCUGCUGUAUUACACUUUAACCAAGAAAUUAAAGUGAUUAAAGAGCGGCUGAGAUGCCCAGAGGAGAGUUCCCGGAACCAGCAAUGAGACUCUGCACCAUUCUUUUGUAUCACUUAAGCAAAUUAUUAUAUUCUGUGCAAUGCUGACAUUUUUAUUUAGUUUGCUUAACUUGCAUGCCCAGGACAUUCGUCCUGACUUCCUUUGUUGAUGGAAUUUUGUUCACUUGAUAAAGUAAUUUCAUGUUGUGUCUGAUACAGGGGGGAAAUGUAAAACAGAAGGGUUGGGGUUUAAGGCCUUCUUCUCCCCUUUUAUAGAAUCAAGGACAUCAAGCCCAGCCCCCUGUUGAAUCGCUUUUCCCCUCCACUUUUGUUGCAAAAAGUGUAGGGGGAAAGCAGCUUUUUGCAACGAAAGUGUAUGGGCAAAGCAGGAAUCACUUUCCCCCUACACUUUUUCCAAUGAAAGUAUAGGGGGAAAGUGAUUCCUGCUUUGCCCCUACACUUUCAUUGCAAAAAGUGUAGGGGGAAAGCAGCUUUUUGCAACGAAAGUGUAUGGGGAAAGCAAUUCUUGCAACAAAAAAUGGUUAGCAACUUUUUGCCAUAUGCUUAUACUUAGCUCCACUGUUAGAAUCUCUAUACUGUCUUCUUCCACAAGAGCCUCAAUAUUUCACUUCCAUACUGUCUAUGAGGUCUCUCAGCUGCAAGUUUCAAAGUGGGCAAUUUAGAGCAUUACUGGUGAGUUCCUGAAUAUCAGAGUCAUGCAUCUGGCAGGGCUGAUACAGUAACAUUUAAGCUGUUGACGGACCCUGUAUAUGUUAAUAAAGAUUAUAAUUAAUUUUGACCCUAACA